GGUGAUCUAUCCGUGCGCGCGCGAAGCCGGGGAACCCCGGUGAGGCCGUCGACGGUACUGACGUGCAAAUCGUUCGUCCGACGUGCGAAUAGGGGCGAAAGACCAAUCGAACCUCCUAGUAGCUGGUUUCCGCCGAAAUUUCCCUCAGGAUAGCGGCCAUCGCGGAAACGUUUUGACCGGUAGAGCGAACGACUAGAGGUACCGGGGCCGUAACGGCCUCGACCUAUUCUCGAACUCCGAACGGGCAAGGAGCCGGGGUCGCCCGAUCGGACCCCGGACGUGAAGUCGACGAUGGUCGGUGGGCUGGUUUUGGUAAGCAGAACGGGCGAUUCGGGAUGAACCGGAAGCGGGGAGAAAGGGCCCGAGAUUGCGUCGACGCGGAUCCCGAAAAAGGGCGUCGAUC
rnacentral:rRNA from 1 species